GGAAGGAUCAUUAACACGUAUCCACGUACCACUAGUAAACCCAACUGUGUGAACUGAGAACUAAGGUCGCGGGAGCUCGGACCUAAAACGAGCUUCACUCUUGUCAUUUUUCACCCCUUUUUGAAUUUUCUUGACUGAAACCGAGAUCGGGAUCGGAAACGACCCGUCAUCUCUUCGCUCGGUCCUAAAAAACCGAAUCGAUAAACUCUUAACAACUCUUAGCAACGGAUAUCUUGGUUCUCGCAACGAUGAAGAGCGCAGCGAAAUGCGAUACGUAAUGCGAAUUGCAGAAUUCAGUGAAUCAUCAAAUUCUUGAACGCAAAUGGCGCUCCUGGGAUAGCCCUGGGAGCAUGCUUCUUUGAGUAUCGGUUCACCCGACAUCGACGGCGUGCUUGGCAAAGCACUGCGCAGUCGGAGAGUGAGCGAUCACGGCCUCGUGUGCCUUGGCAAAGGUGCGCCGUGUCGCUUUAAGAACAAGGUGCCAAGUGAGUCAGGGCUCGCUAGAAACCUUCGUCUCUGGGACGAACACUGGGUACACACCCCCAACAUUGUUUCGUCACCCCAAACUGGAGACCGGAGGUGGAGACCCAGGCUCGAUCGUGCACCCCCCCUCAAAUCUCAAGAGACACGGACUAACCUCUGUGUCUUUUCGAAAAAUAGAUCUCAGAUGAAGCAAGAAAACCCGCUGGACUUAAGCAUAUUAUUAAGCGGAGGAAAAGAAACUAACAAGGAUUCCCCUAGUAACGGCGAGUGAAGCGGGAAAAGCUCAACCCGAAAAUCGGCGACCCACGCGGGGCGCCGAGUUGUGGGCUAGAGACGUGACAUCAGCGUGUGACCGGGUUAUAAAUCUUUUGGAACAAGGUAUCAUAGAGGGUGAGAAUCCCGUCUUUGAGCCCGAGUUCGCCGCGUACGAUCCACGUUCUACGAGUCGAGUUGGUCGGGAUUCCAGCUCUAAAUGGGUGGUAAAUUUCAUCUAAAGCUAAAUAUUGGCGAGAGACCGAUAGCGAACAAGUACCGUGAGGGAAAGAUGAAAAGAACUUUGAAAAGAGAGUUAAAAAGUACUUGAAAUUGCUAAGAGCGAAGCGCUGGAAACCAGUCGUGCCCUGGCCUAUAUUUAUCAUCGGCACGGAUCGGACUGUGUCGGGCAAUGCUUGCGUUUCGCCCGGUGUAGCCCGGUUCGGGUCGGUGAGUUCUGUAGGUUGGGGCGAGUCAGGAUCAGUUGGGCUCGCGGCAGAAAGCCGGCGGGAAGGUAGGGCGGAGGCAGCAAUGCUGAAACCUGUUAUAGACCGCAGGUCAUACCGUGGGCUCGACUGAGGUAUUUCGUAAACACGCAUCUCUCCUCCGGGAGGGGUUGGGUGUCCUGUUCCUGCCGCGCCAUCUUCUUUGGACAGCAAAGCUGUGCGAGUUGAGAAGCGUUGGUACUGGGCGGGGUGCACUACAUGCGCGUUCGGGAUCCUGACGAAAUGGUUUUCAUUGACCCGUCUUGAAACACGGACCAAGGAGUCUAACAUAUAUGCGAGUAUUUGGGUGGAAAACCCUGAUGCGUAAUGAAAGUAAAGGCAGGCUCGUCUUGCUGAGGUAGGAACCCGGGCCCGCAGGGUCUGGGGGCACUAUCGACCGAUCUGGCACUUGUGAAAGAUUUGAGUAAGAGCAUAUCUGUUGGGACCCGAAAGAUGGUGAUCUAUGCCUGAACAGGGCGAAGCCAGGGGAAACUCUGGUGGAGGCUCGUAGCGAUACUAACGUGCAAAUUGUUCGUCUGAUUUGGGUAUAGGGGCGAAAGACUAAUCGAACCAUCUAGUAGCUGGUUCCCUC
rnacentral:misc_RNA from 1 species